rnacentral:ncRNA from 1 species
UUAAAAGAUUCCGGUUAAAAGGGAAUCAGGUGAAAAUCCUGAACGAUCUCGUCACUGUAAAAAAGGAGCUGACGUCCAAAAAGAAAGAAAUUUCUGGUCACUGUACAGUAGAUACCGCAAUUAUCGGUAUAAAAAGUAUGGGAAGGCCGGACAGAAGCUGUGAUUUUUAAGUCAGGAAACCUGCCGUCUGUAAUAG